CCUACGGGAGGCAGCAGUGAGGAAUAUUGGUCAAUGGGCUUACGCCUGAACCAGCCAAGUCGCGUGAGGGAAGACUGCCCUAUGGGUUGUAAACCUCUUUUGUCAGGGAGCAACGCCGGCUACGUGUAGCCGGACUGAGAGUACCUGAAGAAAAAGCAUCGGCUAACUCCGUGCCAGCAGCCGCGGUAAUACGGAGGAUGCGAGCGGUAUCCGGAUUUUUUGGGUUUAAAGGUGGCGUAGGCGGAAUGCCAAGUCAGCGGUAAAAUCGCGGGGCUCAACCUCGCUCCGCCGUUGAAACUGGCGUUCUUGAGUGGGCGAGAAGUAUGCGGAAUGCGUGGUGUAGCGGUGAAAUGCAUAGAUAUCACGCAGAACUCCGAUUGCGAAGGCAGCAUACCGGCGCCCAACUGACGCUGAAGCACGAAAGCGUGGGUAUCGAACAGGAUUAGAUACCCCUGUAGUC
rnacentral:rRNA from 1 species